GUGCUUGAUUCUGCAGUAUAUGUACAAUAGUUGGAAAGAUAAAGAGAAUAUUAGCAUGGCUUCUGCACAAGAAUGAUGCACAAAUUUAUAAAGCAUUCCAUAGUUUU
ensembl:snRNA U6 U6 spliceosomal RNA